UAUAUACAUCAUCAUCAUCCAUUCAGAGUGGGCUUCCUUUUCACUUCUUCUUCACCAUCAUUCACGCCAUAUACACCAUACGCACACAGAUCAGGAGAGAGGCAUAAAUUGCACACACAAUACCAAGAACACACACCCCUCUCACACCUACACACCCUAAAUCAGACGCAUACACAGAAAAAAAAGGGAUAGAGAAAGUGAAAUCGAGAGAGAAGGUGAAUGGAAAAAGGAAUUUGGGUGAGAAAUUAAGAAAGAGAGAGAUGAAAUCAGAGAGAUGUGACAGCGAAUCGAUGCUGAGAGAGUGAAAUCGAGAGAGGAGGUGAACGGGAAAGGGGAUAACGGGGUAAAUCUGGUGUGUCGAUUGCUUUUUCAGUGAACCUUUACGUCGGAUUUGGUCUGCAGGUGGUCUUGUGAUCGACUUGAGUUUAAAGUUCUUGAAUCUUCUUCGUCCCCACUGAUUUCAAAGCAAAUCUGGCCGAGAAAUAGUGAGGAUCGCUGGAAUUUUUGGUCCGUCUUUUUUUGUCUCGUCUGAGCUCACCGGAGCUCAAGCUACGUCGGUUUUCGAUCUUCUGUCGUAUUGAUUGGGGUUUUGGGUUCGUCUAUUCUCACGCCGUUCGGGUAGUACAUUCUUGAUACCGAGUGGAUUGUGCUACUAUGGAGGUUUCCGUUCGAGGAUUCCUGUCCCGGGUUUCUUUAUUAUCGACAAAACAUUCUAUCGAGUACAUUUGUAUUGACCCCCUAUAUUUCAAGAUCUGAGGCUCAAUCCCGGGGUCCCGCUAAGCAAUAGAUUGGGAUGUCAGAAGUUUGCAGCUGGUGAGCCUCCCUUAUUUCGGAAGGCCUUGGUUAUGGAACAUUGAUAUUUGAUGUUUAGUUCAUGAUCCGACUGGGAUCCUUGUCCCAAUUUUCAGACAGAUGUCGUUCACGUAUUAUUAGAGAUUUCGCAAACUGGUGUUAAAUGUUUCUGAAUGUUUAUGAACUUCUUCUAUUCAUAAUGAUUAGUUGGAUUGAGAGAA